GACUCGCCGUCCUGCCUCGGCCCCUGCGGCUACCACGUGAAUGCACAUUUUCUUUUUGCGAGCAGGUGCGGAUUCUGGAGGAAUCCAAAAGAGAACCAGAGUAAUUUAUCAAGAUUGAAGAGCUGCGACCAUUUUGCCGGACCGAGAGCACAACCGCCGGGCUGUGGCCGAGUCCACGUGGUGGAGACACUCGUGUGUGUGUGUCUGUGUGUGUGUGUGCACACACGUGCGUGUCCUGGCUCUGUCACUCACCCUCCUCACAACACUGCCUUUCCACCAACUAAGCGGAGCGUGGGCUACCCAGCUUCUCCAACCUGGAACAUCUGGGCUGCACCCAGGAAGAAAAAUGUGUGUGACAGCUCCUCUACUCCAUUAGCACAGUAACGUCCACUCGACAACAGAAGUUCAGAUUUGCAGUUACCUGGAGAAACCCCGAGGAAAGGUGAGCUGCUAACUUACAAACGCUUCCUUCCUUCUCACUGAGAAAAUUGUCUUUUGGAUUACCAACCAUUGAUGUGGGUGCUGGCCUCGAGUUCUUUUCAGGGAUUGAAAUGUCCUUAGAGAACAGAUGAACUGUCCCAAAGGCUAUGCCUGAAGAUGAGCAGAAGGGGUUGGGACCCUGCUUGGGCUGCUCUCACCGGGGUCUUCAGACUCAUGUGCCC
rnacentral:lncRNA from 1 species